rnacentral:rRNA from 1 species
GACGAACGCUGGCGGCGUGCCUAACACAUGCAAGUCUACUCAGCAAUGGGUGGCGAACGGGUGAGUAACGCGUAGACAAUCUGCCCUUUAAUCACGGAUAACCUAGUGAAAACUGGACUAAAACGGGAUGUGGUCGCGAUAUGGCAUCAUAUGCGAUCAAAGACGUAGUCGUUAAAGGAGGAGUCUGCGUAACAUUAGCUAGUUGGUAAGGUAACGGCUUACCAAGGCGACGAUGUUUAGCUGGUCUGAGAGGAUGAUCAGCCACACUGGGACUGAGAUACGGCCCAGACUCCUACGGGAGGCAGCAGUGAGGAAUAUUGCACAAUGGGGGCAACCCUGAUGCAGCAACGCCGCGUGUACGAUGACACAGUUUAUCUGCGUAAAGUACUGUUAACCGGGACGAAAAGAUGCAUGGACUGCAUUUAUAUGACGGUACCGGUAGAGGAAGCUCCGGCUAACUCCGUGCCAGCAGCCG